rnacentral:rRNA from 1 species
GACGAACGCUGGCGGCGUGCUUAACACAUGCAAGUCGAACGGAAAGGCCCUGCUUGCAGGGUACUCGAGUGGCGAACGGGUGAGUAACACGUGGGUGAUCUGCCCUGCACUUCGGGAUAAGCCUGGGAAACUGGGUCUAAUACCGGAUAGGAGCCAUUUUUAGUGUGAUGGUUGGAAAGUUUUUUCGGUGUAGGAUGAGCUCGCGGCCUAUCAGCUUGUUGGUGGGGUAAUGGCCUACCAAGGCGGCGACGGGUAGCCGGCCUGAGAGGGUGGACGGCCACAGUGGGACUGAGAGACGGCCCAGACUCCUACGGGAGGCAGCAGUGGGGAAUAUUGCACAAUGGGCGCAAGCCUGAUGCAGCGACGCCGCGUGGGGGAUGACGGCCUUCGGGUUGGAAACUCCUUUCGCUAGGGACGAAGCUUUUUGUGACGGUACCUAGAGAAGAAGCACCGGCUAACUACGUG